UGGUUGCGGCCGUGUCGGCACGUGAGUGGUUUUGGAUCUGCAUGUCCUGGCGGGCUCUCUGCCUUUGCGCAGCCAACCGUCGGAGUUGCUUUCCUUUCAUUUCUUUUGGCCGAUGACAUUGGGUGUGUUGGUCACAUGCCCCGUUGCUUGUGCACCGAACCUGACCUGCUUGGAAUGCUAAGUUGCCUAUGUUUGUCGCGACUUGCUCCCCUUUUCCCAUGGGUGGAGGGGGCGCACGCUCAAUCGUUUCUCGUCGUCCCUCGAACGGCGGCCAAUGUGAGCCGUCCGUCUUUGAUCGGUCGUCGGGGAUGCGCCAGGGCUUUCGGAUGCUGUGGACGAAUGGGGUAUGGGGGCUUGUCCCCCCUCUCCUUCUUGGUUAUGAUUCGGCAUUCUAUGCUGCUCUCGGACGGCUGACGGUCGGCUUGCGAAAUGCACCUUGCUUUUGCGUCCUCGACGGGCGUGGUCGCGGGGUGUAUCGCAGUGCUGACGUCGCCUACGAUGUGCUACCUGGUUGAUCCUGCCAGUAGUC
rnacentral:misc_RNA from 1 species